rnacentral:lncRNA from 1 species
AACUCACAAGUGGCCAGGCCAGCAUUGGAAGCCAGCUCUGCCUGCCCGCACAGGCCUGGACGCCCAGCCACAACCUGGUGUCCCCUCUGCCCAGCUCUCGCCUUGGCUCUCAAUCAUUAAUGAAGAUGUGAAGUGAGACACCAAUCCUCACAGCCCCCACCACGUGCUCCCUCCCAUGCCUGGCGCUGCUGGAGUCAUUAUCCUUCCUGGUGUGACAGGGUCAGAACCAAACCAAUUUGCAUCAGUCUUUGGUGAUGUUGUGAAGCGUCGCCUGCCCUGCAAUCCUGCUGCUGUAACAACUGCUUCAGCUGUCUGUUCUGGAGUGCUCUUCGCUCCUUUGGAAGACUGAUCAGAUCUGGCCACCCCAGUUCUGGCUGAAAGCCCUAGAGCGACCGCAAUGGUAGGGCAGGAUUCAGGGCUACACAUGGCUGACAUUGUUCCUUCUUCGUUUUGCUCUUCUGAGCUGGACAGAAAGCAGUCCCUCUUUGGAAAACAGGAUGGACAAGUGCAUACAUUAGUGGAGGACGCAGCAGAUGUGGCAGGCAUAGAAUUUUACUCAUUGCUCCAUCUAUUUCUAUCAAGGAAAAUGGGGAGUGCUCCCAAUUUCC